UAAGGAAUAUUGCUCAAUGGCCGAAAGGCUGAAGCAGCAACGCCGCGUGAGGGACGAAGGGCUUAAGCUUGUAAACCUCUGUAACGGGGGAAAAAACUUCCACUUAAGUGGAAUAUGAUGGUACCCCGAAAGUAAGCGUCGGCUAACUACGUGCCAGCAGCCGCGGUAAUACGUAGGACGCAAACGUUGUCCGGAUUUACUGGGUGUAAAGGGUGCUCAGGCGGUCUUGUAAGUCAGAGGUGAAAUCUCCCGACUCAAUCGGGAAACUGCCUUUGAUACUGUGAGGCUUGAGUGCAGAAGAGGCGGAUGGAAUUUCUGGUGUAGCAGUGAAAUGCGUAGAUAUCAGAAAGAACACCAGUGGCGAAGGCGGUCCGCUGGUCUGUCACUGACGCUAAAGCACGAAAGCGUGGGUAGCAAACAGG
rnacentral:rRNA from 1 species